AAGUCGUAACAAGGUUUCCGUAGGUGAACCUGCGGAAGGAUCAUUAGCAAGAUUGCGCGUGUGACCUCUUUAGGGGGGGAUCAUGGGCAAGUAUGCCAUCCUUGUGCUGUGUUUUCUGUGUUGUUAGAGUGCUCACGCGUAACAGUUUGGGCACUCUCUCACCUUUUUAAUACCCAUUUUUAUAUCUAUACUUCUUAACCUCUUUUUUGUCUGGCAACAGGCAUCAAAAAAAUAAUCGAAAACUGCCAGCAAUGGAUCACUCGGUUCUC
rnacentral:misc_RNA from 1 species